rnacentral:snRNA from 1 species
AUAGUAUGAUGGCGGUUG